rnacentral:rRNA from 1 species
AUUGAACGCUGGCGGCAUGCCCUACACAUGCAAGUCGAACGGCAGCACGGGUGCUUGCACCUGGUGGCGAGUGGCGAACGGGUGAGUAAUACAUCGGAACAUGUCCUGUAGUGGGGGAUAGCCCGGCGAAAGCCGGAUUAAUACCGCAUACGAUCCACGGAUGAAAGCGGGGGACCUUCGGGCCUCGCGCUAUAGGGUUGGCCGAUGGCUGAUUAGCUAGUUGGUGGGGUAAAGGCCUACCAAGGCGACGAUCAGUAGCUGGUCUGAGAGGACGACCAGCCACACUGGGACUGAGACACGGCCCAGACUCCUACGGGAGGCAGCAGUGGGGAAUUUUGGACAAUGGGCGAAAGCCUGAUCCAGCAAUGCCGCGUGUGUGAAGAAGGCCUUCGGGUUGUAAAGCACUUUUGUCCGGAAAGAAAUCCUUGACUCUAAUACAGUCGGGGGAUGACGGUACCGGAAGAAUAAGCACCGGCUAACUACGUG